rnacentral:tRNA from 1 species
UCAUCAUCGUGGACUUUGGCACCGCGACGACCUUCGAUGUCGUCUCGCCGACACCCGAAUACCUCGGGGGCGUGAUCUCCCCGGGCGUGGGGAUC